rnacentral:rRNA from 1 species
GACGAACGCUGGCGGAGUGCCUAAUACAUGCAAGUAGGCAGCAGUGGCGAACGGGUGAGUAACGCGUAGGUAACUACCUAUUAGAGGGGGAUAACUAUUGGACACGAUAGCUAAUACCGCAUACUAGUAGAUGAACCUGCGUUGUAUUAGCUAGUAGGUAGGGUAAUGGGCUAACUAGGCCACGAUACAUAGCCUACCUGCGAGGGUGAUGGGCCCAACUGGGACCGGGACACGGCCCAGACUCCUACGGGAGGCAGCAGUAGGGAAUCUUCGGCAAUGGGGGGAACCCUGAACGAGCAAAGACGCGUGAGUGAAGAAGGUUUUCGGAUCGUAAAGCUCUGUUGUUAAGGAAGCGGUACUUAACCAGAAAGGGACGGCUAACUACGUGCCAGCAGCCGCGGUAAUAC